GUUUGUCUGCAUAGAGGACAAUUUGAUGUUGGGAGUUAAGGAACUUCCGUAUCUCUGAGUGGUUUUGUUGUAUUUUAUUUACUGUGACUUAGCCAUAGCAGGCUUGCUGCCUGUUGAAUAGAUAUCGGGAUCUAUCGACAUAUUAUUUUAGGGGUUUAUCCUGGUUUUAGGAGACUCACUCUUAGACUGACAUGGCCAUCAGAAUAGUGUGGCAGAGGAAUAAUCUUUUCCACUGUGGUGAUAGUAGGACUAUGCAAACCCAGGGCAGUAUGAAAGUUCACAGUGGUUGGGAUACAUAGAGCACCUGUUAAUUCAGCCAUCCUUGGGUGCCUGGUGAGCAGGGCCCUCUUUGUCCUGCAGAGAAACAGAAUUAGCCCAGAUUUAGCAUCAGAGUUCAAAAGUGUUUGCUUGAGAUGCAGAUUUAUGGCCUGGCCUUUAAGUUUCAUGAAGGAGCAGUUCACAGCAGAUAGAACAGUGGACAGAAAACAGUUCAACCAUAGAAUCAUAGAAGGGCCUGGGUUGAAAGAGGCCAUAACGAUCAUCUAGUUUCAACCCCUCUGCUAUGUGCAGGGUUGCCAACCACCAGACCAGGCUGCCCAGAGCCACAUCCAGCCUGGCCUUGAAUGCCUCCAGGGAUGGGGCAUCCACAACCUCCUUGGGCAACCUGUUCCAGUGCGUCACCACCCUCUGUGUGAAAAAAUUCUUCUUAAUAUCCAACCUAAACCUCACCUGUCUCAGUUUAAAACCAUUCCCCCUUGUCCUAUCACUACCCACCCUCAUAAACAGCUGUUCCCCCUCCUGUUUAUACGCACCCUUCAAGUACUGGAAGGCCACAAUGAGAUCUCCCUGGAGCCUUCUCUUCUUGAAGCUAAACAAGCCCAGUUCCCUCAACCUUUCCUUGUAGGAGAGGUGCUCCAGCCCUCUGAUCAUCUUAGUGGCCCUCCUCUGGACCCACUCCAAGAGCUCCACGUCCUUCCUGUACUGGGGGCCCCAGGCCUGGACGCAGUACUCCAGAUGGGGCCUCACAAGAGCUGAGUAGAGGGGCACAACCACCUCCCUCUCCCUGCUGGCCACCCCUUUUUUAAUGCAGCCCGGCACACAGUUGGCCUUCUGGGCUGCAAGCACACACUGCUGGCUCAUGUCCAGCUUCUCGUCUACCAGGACCCCCAAGUCCUUCUCCACAGGGCUGCUCUCAAGGAGAUCUUCCCCCAG
ensembl:lncRNA